CUCACUUUCUUCUCCGGCUGGCCACCGCGGUCCGCUCUGUGCUGUUCUCCGGCUCGCCGCCGCGCUCCCCCCCCCCCACCAUGGAUUCCGCGCUCUCCUCCCCUACCUUCGGUGGCCUCGCCGCGCUCCUCUCCUCCUUCCCGCGGCGAACUUGCAAAAAGGUUGGACCUUUGAGUUCAAGCCGGCGAAGGAUUCCGUCGAUGCGAGGCCGAAGGCGCCAGAUCCAGACCACUACCAACACGACGCCGGCAGCAACCUUCCCACAAGCGGCGGCCAUGGCGUUUCCGCCCCGUCGGAGGCGGCCGCCUCGCCGUCGGCCUCGGCCGUCCAGCUGGAGCCGCGGGUGGAGCAGCACUGCAGUGGGAGGGCGGGUACUGGGUGCUCAAGGAGAAGUACCACACCAGCCUCAGCUCACCAAGCUGCCCAUGGAGUAGGUCGACACCGACAAGCUCACCAAGGAGGACGUCGAUAUGCGACUCAAGUGGCUCGGCCUCUUCCUCAGCCGCAAGCAGCAGUGUAUGCCCCUGCUCUGUCAAGCAGCAACAACAGAGGCGGGGGCGGGGAAUACCAGCAGCAACAGAGGUGAGGGCGGGCGCGACCUUCGGAGGAGGGCCAACACGGAGAGGAGAGGUUGAGCAGGGCCAACGCGGCGAUGAAGACCCUGGGCCAGAGCAGCGAUGAAGACCCAGCGCCGCGACGGCGUCCAAAAUUGUCCGCGGCGACGGCGGCCAAGGCGGACCAUACCGAGGACCUAGUCGUCGAUUUACUGCUUCUUGGCACGAUUCAGAAGGAGGUGACGAAGAGGAAGAACUUUAGGAGCAAUCCCGCUGCUCAGGUAGGCGAGGGCACAGCCAUGGCGGCUGCGCAGCUGGGCGGCGGCGCAAAGCGCCUCCGUGAAGGUCCUGCGCGUCUCCUCCACGACGACGCAGGGCAUCUACUGCACAGGCGGCUGGGUCCUGCGACGCGCGGAGACUCUCUCUGGGUGCUGAGGAGAACGGGGGAGGAAGACGGGGGAUGGUGGCCGGAGCCGGCGACGCGCGAGCGACGGUGGAGUAGUGAGGAAGGAGACGGGGGCGUUUUUUCAAAUGAUUCAAAAGUAUAAGGACAUGUUUGCAAAAUGCAUAAUGUACAGCAGUCGCGACAUCUAAUUCCGAACGGAGGGAGUAGCAUAUUGUACUUAGCAUUAGGCAAAUCAGCUAAACAUGAAGAUGCGGACGUCCGCAUGUGCCCGCCAGCCAUAGCAAGCAGUCAAAACUUGCGGACGCGUCCGCAGUGUA